CAUGCGACCGCCGCACGGAUUAUGUACGUUCAGCUCGCUUACCUAAUUCGUCGAACGAGAAUACUUCAAUCGCCGCCUGCCCACUCAUUGUGCACCCAUUGGACGGGUAUUCUGACCCUAUUGAGGCCCUUUGGCCCCGAUUAUGGCCUAUUGUAAAACUUGGCGUACCAAGCUUUAACUUUCCGCCGAAGCCGACAGUGAAUACCUACCUGGGCGCAGCGUAAUCGAUCAACCACUCCAUUGCCGAGUGGUUCCGUUGCUACGCAUCGGCUGGACUCUCCCACUAGCCGGUGUGACCCUGACUCUGUGCCGGGUCUGAGGAUGCCCUCCGUCGUCAUCCCUUAGAAGGCGUUACCUGCUUUCAGACUGCCUCGUUGCGGCGCACUCACUACUUCCGAAAGCCCAGCAUUUUGAGACAACAAUCCCUUCUUGUUCACGAUCAACUUAUUCGACCGUGGAACUGCCAUGGAUUGGUCUUUCGGUGCCGAUUGAUGCACGGUCGUCGGCGCCAUUAUGCAUCCACCGUUCGCAAUAGGCCUUAAUAACCCGCAUUUCGCGCGCGUCCACCAAAGAAUUCAGACUACACUUUCGGGUGCCGAGUUGGCACCUCCCAGUAACC
rnacentral:rRNA from 1 species